UACGAAGGGGGCUAGCGUUGCUCGGAAUCACUGGGCGUAAAGGGUGCGUAGGCGGGUCUUUAAGUCAGGGGGGAAAUCCUGGAGCUCAACUCCAGAACUGCCUUUGAUACUGAAGAUCUUGAGUUCGGGAGAGGUGAGUGGAACUGCGAGUGUAGAGGUGUAAUUCGUAGAUAUUCGCAAGAACACCAGUGGCGAAGGCGGCUCACUGGCCCGAUACUGACGCUGAGGCACGAAAGCGUGGGGAGCAAACAGG
rnacentral:rRNA from 1 species